AGCAACAGUUCCAGGACGGUAACGAUGUGGUUUCUUGACUCCACCAGUGGUCGGUGCAGAUUUACGAGCAGCCUGUGUUGAAUAUAUAAGAAGAUCAAAACUUGAUUAAUGACAAUUAAAGGCACAAUCUGAGCACACAAAAAAAGAGACAGAGAAGGAACAAAAACCUUAGUAGCAAGUUGCUUCCUUGGAGCUUUUCCUCCGGUGGACUUACGAGCGGUUUGCUUGGUACGAGCCAUCUCUGCUCAUUCACAAGAUUUGAAGCCGUCAAUUAGGGAUUUUCAUUAUACACAAAACUUAUUUGAUGAAGAAAUUGGAGAAAUUAAAAACCCUAAUAAUGAUUAACUGUUUAUCAACCCAGAUAAUAUAUAGCCAAAGGGGAAAAAUUUGAGUCUCAAACCCUAAUUUACAAAACACAACUACGCAAUGACAAUCACACACAGACAGAUCACUAACAUAGAGCCACUAAGCAAGAAACAAACGAACGAUUAAGUAUUUGAUCGAUCGACAGAAUUACCAGAGUCGAUCUUCACGUGUUUAUAUCUAUGCAGCAAAUUUGAAAGACGGAUCUUUGAUUUUCAUAUAGGAAUAGGACAAAACCCAAGACUCAAUUGUCGUGAAAAUCAGAUCACAGAGACAGUAACAGAAAAUUUAAGGAACGAGCUAAUACCCUAAUCCCAAAACAUACCUCUUCUUCGCUUGAGGAGACUUUUGUUUUGUUUUGCCUUUUUCUUUUAUUUUUGUCUUUCGUCACAAAAGAAGUAAUAGCGGAUGAUUGAACUAGUAGUGUGGUUGUUGUGUUCACAAUGCCGUCGAAUGUGUUAUUUAUAAUACCAACGAAAGGGUUCUCACGAUACGCUCCUUUGUGCUUUCUUACAUCUUUCAUCCGACGGUUAAAACAUUUGCACAUUGUGUUUUCUCGUCUCAACCCGACGGCUACGAUUGAAAAAUUUUAGUUUCACGCGGAUUACCAAUUUCGUGAAUGUCAAAGUUAUUGAACUAAAUCAAACUUUGUAACGCCAUGCUAAUUUAUCAAACAAAAAUUUAAUUGAACAGAAUCAACAUCACAUGAAACAAAAGUCAAAAACUUUAACAUAUCAAAUAUGUCUCAGAGUUGCAAUUCAACAACAAACGGUGUUUUAGUAUUGCCAAAGAAGAAAGCAAUACACACCACAAAACGUAGCUAAGAACAUAAGCAAUUCAUAAAACCGAAUAGACAAGAAAUAGAGAAUUAAAAAACCAACCAUCAUUGUAUUCAAGUCACCUACAACCAUAAGCUUUUAAAGCCAUUAUCUAAUUCCAACUAUCUAUUUAGAAAACCCCACAUUCACAUAAUCCAACCAGCUUCCCCAUUACACUUAAGCACGCUCCCCUCUGAUCCUGCGAGCAAGUUGAAUGUCUUUUGGCAUUAUGGUGACACGCUUGGCAUGAAUGGCGCAGAGGUUAGUGUCCUCAAAGAGACCCACAAGGUAUGCUUCAGCAGCCUCCUGGAGUGCAAGCACAGCAUGGCUCUGGAAACGCAGAUCAGUCUGCACAACACAACAAAAAUAUGAUAAGCACACGGGUUACUAUACAGUAAACAUAAAUCAGUAAUCUCAGGAACAGAGACACCAGCACAUUACCUUGAAAUCUUGGGCAAUCUCACGAACGAGCCUCUGAAAAGGGAGCUUCCUGAUCAGCAACUCAGUACUCUUCUGGUACUUACGGAUUUCACUGUUAAUCAAAAACAAGAAAACAAGGAAACAGAAUUAGGUCAAAAAAGAUAACAACCAAGCAUAACCCAAUCAUAUUUGUGGGAAAACAAAAUGCAUACCGAAGAGCAACAGUUCCAGGACGGUAACGAUGAGGCUUCUUGACUCCUCCGGUGGUUGGUGCAGACUUACGUGCAGCCUGAAUUUUUUAUGAAAAAACAAACAAUUAGGACAAAUCCAGAUAUGUGUCCACCAAAUAACUCAGAUCACAUGUGAGAGAGCCUAAUUCUUAUUACCUUUGUAGCAAGCUGCUUCCUAGGGGCCUUUCCUCCAGUAGACUUACGAGCUGUU
rnacentral:lncRNA from 1 species